rnacentral:rRNA from 1 species
CCCUUAGAGUUUGAUCCUGGCUCAGGAUGAACGCUAGCGGCAGGCCUAGUACAUGCAAGUCGAACGGGGUUGAGUAGCAAUACUCAAUUCAGUGGCGCACGGGUGCGUAACGCGUAUGCAACCUACCUUAAACUGGGGGAUAGCCCGGGGAAACCCGGAUUAAUACCGCAUAAUAUCCUUUGAGGGCAUCUGAAGAGGAUUAAAGAUUUAUUGGUUUAAGAUGGGCAUGCGUGCCAUUAGCUAGUUGGUGAGGUAACGGCCCACCAAGGCUACGAUGGCUAGGGGUUCUGAGAGGAUGAUCCCCCACACUGGUACUGAGAUACGGACCAGACUCCUACGGGAGGCAGCAGUAGGGAAUAUUGGGCAAUGGAGGCAACUCUGACCCAGCCAUGCCGCGUGCAGGAUGAAGGCCUUCUGGGUUGUAAACUGCUUUUAUCUGGGAAGAAAACACCCAUGCGUGGGAAACUGACGGUACCAGAUGAAUAAGCACCGGCUAACUCCGUGCCAGCAGCCGCGGUAAUACGGAGGGUGCAAGCGUUGUCCGGAUUUAUUGGGUUUAAAGGGUGCGUAGGCGGCCCGGUAAGUCAGUGGUGAAAGCCUCCAGCUCAACUGGAGAACUGCCAUUGAUACUGCCGGGCUUGAGUACAGACGAGGUUGGCGGAAUUGAUUGUGUAGCGGUGAAAUGCAUAGAUACAAUCAAGAACUCCGAUUGCGUACGCAGCUAACUAGGCUGUAACUGACGCUGAGCACGAAAGCGUGGGGAGCGAACAGAUUAGAUACCCUGGUAGUCCACGCCGUAAACGAUGAUUACUCGAUGUUGGCGAUACACUGUCAGCGUC